rnacentral:tRNA from 1 species
GUGUUUGUAGUCCAAUGGUUAGGAUAAUUGCCUUUCAAGUAAUUGACCUGGGUUUAACUUUUAGCAAACGUA